rnacentral:rRNA from 1 species
UACGUAGGGAGCAAGCGUUGUCCGGAUUCACUGGGUGUAAAGGGUGCGCAGGCGGAUUUGUAAGUCAGAGGUGAAAUCUCACGGCUUAACCGUGAAACUGCCUUUGAUACUGCAGAUCUUGAGUUUGGGAGAGGUUGAUGGAAUUCCAGGUGUAGCGGUGAAAUGCGUAGAUAUCUGGAGGAACACCGGUGGCGAAGGCGGCAUCCUGGACCGACACUGACGCUGAGGCGCGAAAGCUAGGGUAGCAAACGGG